UGAGGCCGUGCACCCGGAGCCCCCGUCCCUCGCCCGUCGCACUGCUGCGGGCGGCCUCGGAGGUCGCCCCGUUGGCCCCCUGCUCCCUGCGGGCCUCCGAGUGAAGGAGCGGGCACCUUGCCCACCCGAGCCCACUGCCUCCACCGAGCCACGACCUGCUUCCGGGCACUUCCCCAGGUGGGCCAGUGCCGGACCUCCUGCCCUUGCCCUGGUGCCCUCGGUGCCCUCUGUGGAGGCGUUUGUCGACCAAACAGGGCGCCCAGUAGGUGGCCCCCUGGGGAUCGCCCUGAGUGGGCGGAUCUGUGGGUCCACCCUGCCCCCACCUCAGCUCUGCCCCGGGCUCGCUCCUUUCUUAGUACAAAAGUAAUAUAAACUCACCAUAGAAAAAAAAUAGAAAUUACAACAAGUUAAUUCCUUUAACUCACCCAAACUGGUAGUUCUUUCUAAUCCAUAUUUGAGUUCAUACCCACUUGUAAUUCUUGUACGUUUAGAUUCCAUACACAUUUUCCCAUCAAUUUCAGUUGUCUGCAUGUUACUGGAUAUUUUUUUGCAACAUGAAUCUUAGUAGAUGUGCAGUGUUUCAUCCUAGGGAUGGAUAUACAUUCGUCCAUAUAUGGAUAUGUAUGUUCAAUUAUUAAUCUGUCAUUGAAUAUUUAGGAUGUUUCUAAUUUGGAACCAUUAAAAACGCUUCUUUCAAUCCACUACUCCAUUUCCAGGAGUUUCCUUCUAAGUAUUCAAUGUGGGGCGAGAGCAGAGGAAUAGAAGCUAUGUUGCAACCUUGUACUGCAGGAGAUGGAAACAAUCCCACCUCCCCCCCCAGUGCAGCUGGUUAAUUCUAGGAGGCCUGGGAUGUACGGAUAGUGGAAGAUCUGGAAGAUCUUGAGUGGGUACCGGCCUCAAAAAAGAAAACAAAAUGCAGAACAGUGUGUCCACUAUUUAUGUUUUUAAAAGGAGUACUCAUGUACCCGUAUCUGUUCAAAUAGGAACCCUUGGGGGGAGGAAGAGUGGGGAGGAGAGGGGGAUGCCAGGGUGGAAGGGCACCGAGUGACUUUCAGCCUCUUAACUGGUUUUUUUUAAGCGUUUACAGGUGUUAUCUUUAAACCAUUUUUUAGAGAAAAUAAUUUCUGUGAUAUGAUAAGCAUCCUUAUAGCUGUCUUUGCGCUUAUCAAUUUCUUUAUAAAUUCCUACCUGUGGAAUUAAAGGGGCAAAAAGGUAUGAACUUUCUAUCUCCCUCAGAUUUAUUAUUUUUAGAAGCACUGUUAAGGUAAGAGUCCCAUAAUCAUCAAGACACAUAGAACAUUCCAUCUCCCCAGAGGUUCCUUCACAGGCACACAGUUUUUCAGGAACCUUGGUGAAGAAUGGGUGCUGCAGGCUGGGUCUCGAGUUUGCUGAUGCGUGCUCAGCUGAGCUGCUAAAAGGCGAGGGCAAGGUCAGGGGGCAGGGCCCACACUGAGCCCAGCUCAGGCCCCAGCUGGGCUGUGGGCGGUUCUGACUCCUGUGUGCUGGCGGGGAGCCAGCUGCAGGGGCCUGAAUCCCCUCCAGAGAAGCCUGUAGGGCCCAAGGGCCUGGGGGUGCAGCACCUUCACAUGACCAGUAUUUCAAGCCAGGAGGAGAACCCAUGGCUUCAGCUCAGGAAGGAAGAGCUUUCUUGUAAUUCCAACGGACUGAUGAUGAGGUGAGCGGCCUCCAGGGUGCUAAGCUCCUCCUCACUGGUAAUGUUCAAGCAAAGGUGGGGCCCAUUUAGAAGGAGCCCCUCACUUGCGUUGAGCAGAUGAUGGGUUUGAAUGUCUCACUGGGUCUCCCAUCUCCAAUGAUGCUGAAGGUACAAGUUGUUAUUCUCUGCUUAGCAAGUAUCAGAAACCAGGCUCAGGACUUUGCAGAUUAUCUCCCCAAGACCUCACCUCCUAAGAUGUUGCUGCCCCGAAUCCCUUCGUUUCUUGAGCUGUGUCCUGCAGUGGGGGAAGUGUACUGCCAGGAGUUGGGAUUCACUGGUGCUCUUGUGUCCUGGGGUCUAAACUUGGUGGGUCACUUGGCCUCUGUGACCCUUUCCUCAUCUGUAAAACAAAUAGCCAGAGCUUGACUCCCUGGGUCCCCAUACCCCUAACUCUGGCCCAAACCCAGGACCACUACUGAACUUGGCUCUCCCAAUCCAUGCCAGCCGACCUCCAGGAUGCCUCACUUCCCGGCUCUAGCACUUGAUGCAGGAAAACUCCAUUCUGGCUCCUUCUUGUAAGAUCCAUGUUAUCUGAGCAAACUGUUUGAAGAAAUUCACAAAACAAAAUGAGUAGAUCCAGGGAGCCGAGGUACCGGAGUCCUCGUGGCCACUCGCUAGCCCCGCUUCUCGUGUGAAAACUGACCUGCCUCACUUGCUUGGCCAGAUGGGUGCAGAUCCUGCUCUUGCCGCCAGCCUGGGUCUCUCCUGGGCAGCGCCCAGAGCCUCCCCUCUGGUAUUCUCUAGGUGCUAUUUAGCACCUUUGACACAGGUUCUAGACCUCCUUCCCCAGUCGUCAUCCUCUUUCCUUCCUGGGUGGGUUACAGGGCAAACCAUUGUGCCCGGCCCCCAAGGUUCAUCAUAACCUCCUGCAUAUACAUCAGUAGCCCUUUUCAUGAGGAAGCUGAGGCUCAGAGAAAUGAAGGGGUUUGAAGCCAUGAAGAUGGAGGGUGCUCGGCCUUGCCACAGGUGGCCCCCGGCCCUCCGUGGGACUGCAGCCCUAGGGCCCAGCUGAGGCCCAGACAAGGUGGACAGGAGAGCCUGCUUGGUCAGGGGAGGCACCCGGUGUAUUGGCUUGCCCUGUGUUUUUAUUAUCCUCUUUGCCAGAGCCAUAAAUCUGUCCUCCUCCUCUUCUGGGCAGUCACGGGGGGUCCUGCUGAUUCUAGGUCUGAGGCCUCGUCUCCAUCCCCACUGCAGUCUCCUCUCACUGGUCUCCAGGAGCAGCUAUGGGCAUUGUUCUAGCUCCUGGCUCUGGUCGCUUUGUGCCGUGACCCCUGUAGCCACCCUGGGGCGGCAGGCUUGGGCUGCCAGGUCCAAGGCUCAGCUCAGUUUGGGGACAGAAGGGCACGCCCAGGGGAGGACCUGCUUCCCCAGGAGAAACAGAAUGGCAGAUGGCUCGGGCAGCUGGUCUUUGGAAACUUGCAGCUUCAGAAGCAUAAGUGAUCCGUAGGGCCCUGGCCCAGCUCGCCUCCUGGCACCCCUGAGUGCUGACCACGGACAGACACAGCUGCUCCCUACACACAAGGCCUGCCCAGUGGUGCCCAGCUGUGCUGCUGCCAAGGAGAAAAGGCAGCUUUGUUGACUUCUGGGCCUGAAACCCAGCCAGGGCUGUGGGUGGGAUGAGACAAGAAUGGAUCCAGCCCACAUGUGGGUGCUCCCUUGGCCAGCUGGACACUUUUCUACAGAACAUUGCCUUGGCAGGUGCUCCUGGACACAGCAGGUCUUUGCCUUCCUGAGCUGUCUAGCAGGGGCGUUGAAAGAAUUAAAAGAAAUAGGUCUUUUAUGCAGAAGAAUUGAGGAAAUAAGUCUUUGUCAAAAAAUGUACUCCAAGGGGGCACCUGGGUGGCAUAGUCGGUUAAAUGUCCAAUUCUCGAUUUCAGCUCAGAUCAUGAUCUCAGGGUCGUGAGAUGGAACUCCCACUCAGCAGAGAGUUCAGCCUGGAGUCUGCUUGAGAUUCUCUCCCCCUCUGCCUCCCCUCUCUCUAAAAAUAAAUACAUGAAUCUUAAAAAAAAAAAAAAAAAAAAAAACUUCAAGAACAUGAAGCUAGUUUGUGCCAGCCUUGUCACUUCUGCCCAGGGAGCCAACCACCUUCCCUCCUUCGUCCAGGCUGGAACAUGUGUGCACGGAGCCGUUUAAAGCCAGACCAGCUUGUAGUUGAGACAGUCACUACAACCUGUUCUGUUUUGUAGGAGUUAAUAAGAAAUUAUUAAAAAGUAAACAAUACUGAACCUUGUUUUUCCUUCUCAGUUGUAACCAAGUAGAGAAGAAAUUUGCUGUGCUGGGCAUUGUCCUGGCCAGCACCUUCUGUGGAUACAGGAAUUCCAGGCCUGGACCGGAGUGAAGCCGUCGAGAUCCACAAAGGCGAGACCCGCCACAGUCAUAACAACCCACAGCUCUGGAUGGGACAGCAGCCCCCGGGACAGCUUCCAGGCUCCUGAGGGGAGGAAGAAGU